rnacentral:rRNA from 1 species
GACGAACGCUGGCGGCGUGCUUAACACAUGCAAGUCGAACGGGAACCUUUAUUUCGGUAAAGGUGAGAGUGGCAAACGGGUGAGUAACACGUAGGCAACCUGCCGACAGGAUGGGGACAACAUUCCGAAAGGAAUGCUAAUACCGAAUGGAGUCCGGAGAUGGCAUCAUCUCCGGAUAAAAGAUGGCCUCUGAAUAUGCUAUCGCCUGUCGAUGGGCCUGCGUCUGAUUAGCCAGUUGGCGGGGUAACGGCCCACCAAAGCGACGAUCAGUAGCCGGUCUGAGAGGAUGAACGGCCACAUUGGGACUGAGACACGGCCCAGACUCCUACGGGAGGCAGCAGUGGGGAAUCUUCCACAAUGGGCGAAAGCCUGAUGGAGCAACGCCGCGUGAGUGAAGAAGGUCUUCGGAUCGUAAAGCUCUGUUGCACGGGACGAAAACCGAGCUUGAAAGUAUUGAGUUUGGGGACGUACCGAGCGAGGAGCCACG